rnacentral:tRNA from 1 species
GGGGUUGUGGCUCAGCAGUUAGAGCACUCACCUAGCAGGAGCAAGGCCCUGGGUUCAAUCCUCAGCACCACA